GGACGAACGCUGGCGGUGCGCCUUAUGCAUGCAAGUUGAGCGAAGCUUUUUGGUAGUUUACUACUAGAAAUGACUGAGCGGCGAACGGGUGAGUAACGCGUGAGCAAUCUACCUUAGUUACUGGGAUAGCCCGAGGAAACUCGGAUUAAUACCAGAUAUUCUUAUUUUUUCACAUGAAGUUUUAAGGAAAGGUCAGCCGAACUAAGAUGAGCUCGCGUUCUAUCAGCUAGUUGGUGGGGUAAAAGCCUACCAAGGCAACGACGGAUAGCUGGUCUGAGAGGACGAUCAGCCACACUGGGACUGAGACACGGCCCAGACUCCUACGGGAGGCUGCAGCAGGGAAUAUUGUGCAAUGAGCGAAAGCUUGACACAGCGACACCGCGUGUGGGAUGACGGUUCUAGGAUUGUAAACCACUUUCAGGAGGGAAGAAAAUGACGGUACCUCCACAAGAAGACCCGGCCAACUAUGUGCCAGCAGCCGCGGUAAUACAUAGGGGUCAAGCGUUGUCCGGAUUUAUUGGGCGUAAAGAGCUCGUAGGCGGUUCAACAAGUCGGUCGUAAAAGUUUAGGGCUCAACCCUAAAAUGUCGAUCGAUACUGUUGUGACUAGGAUACGGUAGAAGUGAAUGGAAUUCCGAGUGUAGCGGUGAAAUGCGUAGAUAUUCGGAGGAACACCAAUUGCGAAGGCAGUUCACUGGACCGUGAUCGACGCUGAGGAGCGAAAGCUAGGGGAGCAAACAGGAUUAGAUACCCUGGUAGUCCUAGCUGUAAACGAUGGAUACUAGAUGUAGGAACUGGAUUGACGGUUUCUGUAUCGUAGCUAACGCGUUAAGUAUCCCGCCUGGGGAGUACGGUCGCAAGACUAAAACUCAAAGGAAUUGACGGGACCCCGCACAAGCGGCGGAGCAUGCGGCUUAAUUCGAUGAUACCCGUAGAACCUUACCUGGACUUGACAUAUAGGGAAAAACUGGAGAAAUCCAGUGUGCGUAAGCGCCCUUUACAGGUGGUGCAUGGCUGUCGUCAGCUCGUGUCGUGAGAUGUUGGGUUAAGUCCCGCAACGAGCGCAACCCCUGUCCUAUGUUGCCAGCAAGUAAUGUUGGGGACUCAUAGGAGACUGCCGGUGAUAAACCGGAGGAAGGUGGGGAUGACGUCAAGUCAUCAUGCCCCUUAUGUCCAGGGCUGCACGCAUGCUACAAUGGCAAGUACAACGAGUCGCAAUACCGCGAGGUGGAGCAAAUCUCUUAAAGCUUGUCUCAGUUCGGAUAGGAGUCUGCAACUCGACUCCUUGAAGUUGGAGUCGCUAGUAAUCGCAAAUCAGCAAAGUUGCGGUGAAUACGUUCUCGGGGUUUGUACACACCGCCCGUCAAG
rnacentral:rRNA from 1 species